GGAGUUUGGUCCGUGUCUCAGUACCAAUGUGGGGGACCUUCCUCUCAGAACCCCUACUGAUCGUUGCCUCGGUGGGCCGUUACCCCGCCGACAAGCUAAUCAGACGCAUCCCCAUCCCUUAGCGAUAAAUCUUUGGUAUUCGUCAGAUGUCCUCAAAAUACAACAUAGAGUAUUAAUCCGACUUUCGCCGGGCUAUCCUCUACUAAGGGGAAGGUUGGAUACGCGUUACUCACCCGUGCGCCGGUCGUCAGCAAGAAAAGCAAGCUUUCCUCCUGUUACCCCUCGACUUGCAUGUGUUAAGCCUGUAGCUAGCGUUCAUC
rnacentral:rRNA from 1 species